rnacentral:misc_RNA from 1 species
GAAGUGCGAUAAGCAGUGCGAAUUGCAGAACCGUGAGUCAUCAGAUUUUUGAACGCAACUGGCACCGUACGGUCUCUGACCGUCGGUACGCCUGGUCCAGUGUCUUGUUAUCUCAUGACCUAAAUCUUAAUGCGGGAGAUGCCCUUCUCUCGUCAAGCAUGAAAGCACUCUGCGCGAGCGAGUAACCUUCGGGUUGCACUCAAUGCAGCAGUCACAUUGCUUACAGUGUGAACUCAUUGAGAGUGGACGCAGCGCGACAAUAGUCGCAAGUGUUUAGUCAUAUCAACUUAGAAACCGUAUCUGGGCUCAGGUGGGACCACCCGCUGAACUUAA